rnacentral:rRNA from 1 species
AUGCGUCCGCCUGUCCUCUUGUCUCUUGUUCUCCUUCUUGUCGUAUGCCUUGCCUGGGCUACUACCACACACUGUGAAGGAAUGAUGAUGAACGUGGAUAAUGGUGGUGGUAAGGAGAAGGAGAAGGAGAAGAUCAGCUUACCAUACGGGUUGUGCGUCCACAAAAAAACGGUUGACCCCUGCUAUUAUCACAAGUUGUGCUACUGCUGCGAUCUCACCAAGUCUGUCAUGCUACACUCGAUGAAUGCAAGCAAGAUUGCAAAUAAUAUAUAG